UGGGAGAAUUCAAUGUUCUUGCCAUCCGGACGCAAGCAACCCAGGCGGAAUAUGAGGUGCUGUUCCUCCAAUUUCCGGUGUUGCUCACUCUGGCAAUGGAGGAGACCCAGGACAGAGAGGUCGGAUUGGGAAUGGGAGGGGGAGUUGAAGUGCUGAGCCACCGGGAGUUCAGGUAGGUUAUUGCGGACUGAGCAGAGGUGUUCGGCCCAACCUCCGCUUAGACUCACCGAUGUAAAUCAGCUGACAUCUAGAGCAGCGGAUGCAGUAGAUGAGGUUGGAGGAGAUACAGUGUGCUGGGUCCAGGAAAGAUCUUCGGUGCUCCCGGACUGAUUGUUAUUGAGGAAGACGUGUUUUUCUGCCAAUUCGGACUUCUGUGGUCUGUGGAAGUUGAGGAUCCAAUUGCAGAGGAAUGCGCAGAGACCCAGCUCCGUGAGCUUGUUGUCACUUCAUGCUUGCAUUAGUAUCCUGGCUGCAGAACUGAAGACAUUUGAGCCAGAACCAACUCUCGGCAAGCUGUUCAACAAUGUGGAAAAUUGCCCAGCUGUCUGCUCCAUGAAAAGCAGCUGAGUGGUAUCAAAAGGAACAUAUUAUUAAUCCACUGGCCCAAGCACAGUUUGCAUUUCAAAGAGCCUCUUAACUGCAGAUGUCAACAUGAGACCAAAGAGUUGAAUUCAUGGUCCUAUCAGCAAAUUCCACGAUGAAAGUGCUGGAAAUUGCCUCAGCUUCCUGUCAGUCUGUGAAGUACAGCAUUAGAGGGCAUUUGUGGAGAGGCAGAAGAGGAGAAGCGGGCAAAUUCAGUUUCCACAUCCGCUAAUAGAGGAAUCGAACCCGGGACGUGUGGAACGGCCAGCAUUUCUUGGUAAAUCUAGACCAGAUGUUCCUGUGGCCUGCAUUCUUUUUUUUUUAAAUCAGCACCAAGGUCCUUCACAGCUUUGUACCAUCCUAAGCAGUGCAGAUUAAUGCUUUGUGCAACAUCAUUUCUAAAUAUUGCGAAUUCUGCUAAAAACAGUUAUUAAAUAAGAAAUACAAAGUAAAAUAUAUUUCCAAUCUAAUUUUAAACUGGAUAACACUGAUGAUCUAAUCCUGAAGCUGAGCAAAUUAUUAAAAUAUUUACUAAUAUAAUCGCCAGUCUGCAUGUUGCAUUUUAAUUGCAAAUUAUAUUUUUAUUAAGAUUAAACUCACUUGAAUAUUUCCAGUUUUUCUUUAAUACUGCACAGAGUAAGGUGCAGUAUUAAUGCAGUAAGGUUAGUGUUCGGAUACUGCAUUGUCUUUUUUGAUUUUUUUUUAAAAUACAGUCAUUCAAAUACGUUAACACUGCAACAAUAUUUGUUGCAAAGGGAAAUGCCUUUGUGUCAUGUUACAACGUAGUAUUGAUGCUGUUAUCCAUCUCUCUGUUUCGCUUGACCCAGAGUGCUUUCCUGGGGAAAUAAUAGUUCACACAGUCACACUCUCUUGCAUUCCAAAUUUAACGUCAGUGCUGAGCAGUUUCCACUUAGGACUAAGCUAAACUUGCCAAAUAAAAAUUAACCUGCCAUGCUUUGGCCUGCCCAACCCCUGCAAUCAGUCGGAACACAGGUCCUGACCUGAAACAUCACUUAUCUAUGAUCUCCAGGGAUGUUGCUUGACCCGGUUACUUACUUCAGCAUUUUGUGUCUCCCAAAUAAAAUACAACCUGAUCUUAACUUGCAAACCUUAUAUUAUUGCUGUCCUUUUCUGGUCCCGACUAGAUAUUUCAAUUUAAAUGAGGGUUCACAUCUUAAAGGUAGAUUAUAAUAACUCAUAAAACAAUACUAAUAGUUUUUCAAUACAAUUCAGUUACGUAUAAAGCAAGUUUUCUUUGGAUUCAAAAAUAAACACAUGUACACAUUUUAAUCAACCUUCAUCUU